rnacentral:rRNA from 1 species
UACGUAGGAGACGAGCGUUGUCCGGAUUUACUGGGCGUAAAGGGUGCGCAGGUGGCGGCGCGCGUGGGGGGUGAAAGCCCCCGGCUCAACUGGGGAGGGUCAUCGGUAACGGUCGUGCUAUGAGUGCAGGAGAGGGAAGUGGAACUCCGGGAGUAGCGGUGAAAUGCGUAGAGACCCGGAGGAACACCAGUGGCGAAGGCGGCUUCCUGGUCUGCGACUGACGCUGUGGCGCGAAAGCUAGGGGAGCAAACGGG